GCAGUGGUGGUUCAGUGGUAGAACUCUUGCCUUCCAAACAGGAGAUCCAGGUUCAAUUCCUGGCCAAUGCA